rnacentral:rRNA from 1 species
GACGUAGGAUGCGAGCGUUGUCCGGAUUCAUUGGGCGUAAAGAGUUCGUAGGCGGUUUGUUAAGUCUGGUGUUAAAGACCGGGGCUCAACCUCGGGAGUGCAUUGGAUACUGGCAGACUUGAGUAUGGUAGAGGCGAGUGGAAUUCCCAGUGUAGCGGUGAAAUGCGUAGAUAUUGGGAAGAACACCGGUGGCGCAAGCGACUCGCUGGGCCAUCACUGACGCUGAGGAACGAAAGCUAGGGGAG